rnacentral:rRNA from 1 species
CCUACGGGGGGCGAACAACAGAGGGUGGCCAUUGCCCGGGCCCUGGCCAUGUCGCCGCCGCUGAUCCUGGCGGAUGAACCCACCUCGGCCUUGGACAGCCACCGGGGGCGGGAGGUCAUGGAACUGUUCAAACGAGUUGCCCACGAGCAUGGGGCGGCCAUCGUCGUGGUCACCCAUGACCAUCGCACCCUGGAUCUCUUCGACACUAUCUUCGAGAUGGAGGAUGGCAUCCUCGCCCCCGCGCGUUCGGCAGCCUGAGCCUGGAAGUUCCAGGCAUCGAGACGACACUUAUCACCGGUCUUUCCUGAUUAUGAUCAAGCUAUUCCCAACCAAUCACGCUAGCGGCAUCUCGAAGCGCAGUCCCCGAGAGCCCGGUAGGAGGAAGCCAUGAAACCCACGGAAGUGCUGAUGACCGAACACAAGGCGGUCCUGAUACCCCGGUAGUC